rnacentral:sRNA from 1 species
AAACAAAAUAUGUAAUAUUAUUAAUGAACUUUCUUUUCUU